GAUGAACGCUGGCGGCGUGCCUAAUACAUGCAAGUCGAGCGAACAGACGAGGAGCUUGCUCCUCUGACGUUAGCGGCGGACGGGUGAGUAACACGUGGAUAACCUACCUAUAAGACUGGGAUAACUUCGGGAAACCGGAGCUAAUACCGGAUAAUAUAUUGAACCGCAUGGUUCAGUAGUGAAAGACGGUUUUGCUGUCACUUAUAGAUGGAUCCGCGCCGCAUUAGCUAGUUGGUAAGGUAACGGCUUACCAAGGCAACGAUGCGUAGCCGACCUGAGAGGGUGAUCGGCCACACUGGAACUGAGACACGGUCCAGACUCCUACGGGAGGCAGCAGUAGGGAAUCUUCCGCAAAGGGCGAAAGCCUGACGGAGCAACGCCGCGUGAGUGAUGAAGGUCUUCGGAUCGUAAAACUCUGUUAUUAGGGAAGAACAAAUGUGUAAGUAACUAUGCACGUCUUGACGGUACCUAAUCAGAAAGCCACGGCUAACUACGUG
rnacentral:rRNA from 1 species